rnacentral:rRNA from 1 species
CCUACGGGGCGCAGCAGUGAGGAAUAUUGGUCAAUGGGCGGGAGCCUGAACCAGCCAAGCCGCGUGAAGGAAGAAGGCGCCAGGCGUCGUAAACUUCUUUUGUCGGGGAACAAAGGGCGCCACGUGUGGCGUUGUGAGUGUACCCGAAGAAAAAGCAUCGGCUAACUCCGUGCCAGCAGCCGCGGUAAUACGGAGGAUGCGAGCGUUAUCCGGAUUUAUUGGGUUUAAAGGGUGCGUAGGCGGAUUUGUAAGUCAGCGGUAAAAAUGCGGUGCUCAACGCCGUAUCGCCGUUGAAACUGCAGGUC